rnacentral:rRNA from 1 species
UACGGAGGGGGCUAGCGUUGUUCGGAAUUACUGGGCGUAAAGCGCACGUAGGCGGAUAUUUAAGUCAGGGGUGAAAUCCCAGAGCUCAACUCUGGAACUGCCUUUGAUACUGGGUAUCUUGAGUAUGGAAGAGGUAAGUGGAAUUGCGAGUGUAGAGGUGAAAUUCGUAGAUAUUCGCAGGAACACCAGUGGCGAAGGCGGCUUACUGGUCCAUAACUGACGCUGAGGUGCGAAAGCGUGGGGAGCAAACAGG